rnacentral:rRNA from 1 species
GAACCGGAUUAGAUACCCGGGUAGUCCCAGCUGUAAACGAUGCUCGUUAGGUGUCAGGAACGGUGCGACUGUUUCUGGUGCCGAAGGGAAGCCGUGAAACGAGCCACCUGGGAAGUACGGCCGCAAGGCUGAAACUUAAAGGAAUUGGCGGGGGAGCACUACAACGGGUGGAGCCUGCGGUUUAAUUGGACUCAACGCCGGAAAACUCACCGGGGGCGACAGCAAUAUGUAGGUCAGGUUAAAGGUCUUACCUGAAUCGCUGAGAGGAGGUGCAUGGCCGUCGUCAGUUCGUACUGUGAAGCAUCCUGUUAAGUCAGGCAACGAGCAAGACCCGUGCCCACUGUUACCAGCAUAUCCUUUAUGGAUGAUGGGGACUCUGUGGGGACCGCUGCUGCUAAAGCAGAGGAAGGUGCGGGCUACGGUAGGUCAGUAUGCCCCGAAUCUCCCGGGCUACACGCGGGCUACAAUGGUUGGGACAAUGGGUAUCUACUCCGAAGGGAGUUGGCAAUCUCUUAAACCCAAUCGUAGUUCGAAUUGAGGGCUGUAACUCGCCCUCUAUGAAGCUGGAAUCCGUAGUAAUCGCGUUUCAACAUAGCGCGGUGAAU